UGCGUGAAUCGUGCGUGACGGCGUCGUGCUCACGUCGACAGCGGCAAAAUCACUUUUUGUUUUUGCAUUUGUUUUUCUGUGUACCUCGGUAUUUUAGUUGGUUCCUGAACCAGUCAGCAAAAAGCCAUCACCCAUGUACUGGACCGAAGAACAUGAUAAAAUUCUUGUCAGGGAAAUCAUCGCCAAUAACCCUUUUGAUGGCACUACAAAAAAGGGUACACCAGCUCGGGGAGCCAAGUGGAAUGCGGUGAUGAAUCAGCUACUGCAGAUAAGAGAACCAUCUUUCAAGGGAACUAGGAGAAGUCAUUGGACAAUGAUGCCAUCUGGAAUGGGACCAAAAUUUUUUGUCAAGCUUGAAGCAUGAGGCUUCUUAACAAACAUCUAUCAAUGAACUCGCUGUUGAAGCCAGAUGUUGCCAUUAUGGAACACAAUUCCAGAGCCAACGAAUAAGGUUACCGAGAGAAGAAAAUAUCCGAUCAUUCCAAGCAUCGGUGGCACCUUCUCGAAACAUCGUAAGCUUCUGAUAAUGAUGUACAGGACCAGGAAGACGAACGCGCAGGUGGCUAUGCCGAUUUGAUAUUUGUAUCCCGUCCGGUAGCGAUAGAACUCAUAGCUAAGCGUAAGAACAGCCGCUAAGAAAGUCGUUACCGUCUCGAUGAGUUUCACCCAUCCUUCCCCCGUGGUCACCAUCCAUGCCCAAUUGCAACAUCUGCGUGAAUUCGGUGAAUCCUCCCUACCCGCCAUAAAAAUUGUCUUUCUUGUACUGAGGAUGGUUAUAUGGUAUGUCGGCGUUUCAAAGCAUAGGACACAAUAUGUAUUGGGGACAAUAAUUCCUAAAUACAUGACGUAUUUACUGUGGAGCAUAAACAUCCGCUAUCCAGAAAGGAGCCCGUGCUCCUCAAACAAAAUGACGGUUCCACUCAAAGAUUUGCUGUGUUGUUGACUUCCCUGAUCCCACCAAACAUCGGAAUGAAAAUAUGACAAGAUUACUCACUGACUAUAGUCUUUCAGAUGAUCGAUACUAAUCUUGUACGCAGAUCCUACCGUGUAUCUGAAAUGAAGGAACUUUUCCACCGCUUGGCCAAUGAAGGUCAUGGUACGAGAUUAGACUAGGCCUGUCCCAAUUGUGUACAGCAACUUUUGAGCAACUUUUGAGCA